GUGGGACCUGAGCCUGGGAAGAGAGUGACUGGGAGGCCCAGGGAGCACGACCAGGUUGAGCUGGUAUAGAUGAGGAAGCUGAUGCCCAGAGAAGGAAGGGAAGAAACUGCCGUUUUCCGAGAACAUAUUAACUAUUUACCUGGUGUUUUACAUCCAUCAUCUCAUUAAAUCCUCAAAUGGAAUCCUACUAUUUUAUGAAAGGGAAACGCAAUCAAUGAAGUAUAGAGUUUCAAACCUAGACCUCGGGAUUAGCAUUCCAGUAUUCUCCCCACCAGAGCUGCCACCAGGACUGGCUACUCCAAAGGAUAGAUCAAGCACCUCCGAAGUACAAAUUCCUAUACGCAGAAAUCUGUGAAGUUGGAAAGGGCAUUGGAUUUUGAGCCCUGGAUUCCAGACUCUUCUCUGACACUGACUCACCUGUGACCGUGAGAGAACCAGGCAACCUCUUUGGGCCUCAGUUUCCUCAUCUGUAAAAUAAGGUGUCAACGGAAGGUUUUCAGGAAGCAACCAGGACUCGCGUCCCUCCCACAGAUGGUCCUUAAAUCAAUCAUUUGUGAGGAAAUACACAGGGGGUGCAGUUGACCAGUUAGGCCCCUGGAAAUAAUGACCAGAACCAACGAGGUCUGACCACCACCCGAUUUAACCAACAGAGAUUGUCAGCUGCGAUUGGUUUAAAGACACAUCCUAACGUCAGAGAUGUAAUGGGAAAAAAAGGGGACACGGGUUUGAGCCCUGGUCUGGGAAGAUCCCACAUGCCACAGAGCAACUGAGACCGUGCGCCACAACUACUGAGCCCACGCUCUAGAGCCAGCGAGCCACAACUGCUGAAACCCGCACGCCUAGAGCCCGCGCUCCGCAACAAGAGAAGCCACCGCAAUGAGAAGCCCGCACACCGCAACGAAGAGUAGCCCCCGCUCGCCGCAGCUAGA